UUUGAUUUUCAAUUCUUUCCCCCCCUGUAUUCAUCACAUCAGUCUUCAAUCUAUCUAUAAUAACACACUCCUGGAAAUUCCCAUUGAUAAAAUUUGGACUUAAUGUCACCUAAUUGAACUUCCUGUACUUGAAUUCACCUGGUUUAUCCUUUGCUCCUAUCAUCAGACACACGAUGCUCUCUCUCCCUUUUGGUUUCAGAUGCGCCAUGUGGUUUUGUCGCAAGCAUCGUCAGAAGCAAGGAUCACUGAGUGGAUAUUUUGCAUUUCAGUAUUCUGGGGCAAGUAGGGUGGUGGAGGUGAAUAUCAAUGGUGGUGAGAGCGACUCGCAAGAUGUGUGGGGAAUCUGCAUUUACUGGUCGUCCUUGAUCUGGUCUGAAAUGGGUGUUCAUUCAUCAGAGAGAAUAAAUUAACUCAAACCGAGUUUAUGGAUAUGAAUUAGGUGUCUGCUCUGUUCUACCUUAUUGUUAAUGGAUAAUCUGAAGAUUCUGAUCUGAUUAGACUGAACUUGAGUUGGACUGGGUUGGGUUAUUACAUUUUUGUUGCUGUUAUAAAAAUAGUA